UGUGAAUAUAAAUGGCCGCGGUACCCUGACCGUGCUAAGGUAGCGUAAUCAGUUGGCUUUUAAAUGGAGUCAGGAAUGAAUGGAUUAACCGGGCUUGACUGUCUCUAGGUUGUUAUAUUGAAUUUACUGUCUAAGUGAAAAAGCUUAGAACAAGAAAAGGGACGAGAAGACCCUUAGAAUUUUUUCUAAUUUGGGUGUGCCUAUUGGCUUACUUUUAAUGAUUUUAUUGGGGCGAUAAAGAAAUAUAUUAAAACUUUCUUUUCUUACAAGCCGAUUAUAUUAAGAAAGGACAAAUUACCUGAGGGAUAACAGCAUAAUUCUAAAGAUGAGUUUGUGACCUCGAUGUUGGACUAGGAAACUAACAAGCUAGGCGUUUGUU
rnacentral:rRNA from 1 species